rnacentral:rRNA from 1 species
UACGUAGGGUGCAGGCGUUAAUCGGAAUUACUGGGCGUAAAGCGUACGCAGGCGGUUUGCUAAGUCAGGUGUGAAAUCUCCGGGCUUAACCCGGAGCGGCCAAGUGAUACUGUCGUGCUGGAGUGCGGAAGGGGCCACCGGAAUUCUCGGUGUAGCGGUGAAAUGCGUAGAUAUCGAGAGGAACACCUGCGGCGAAGGCGGGUGGCUGGGCCGACACUGACGCUGAGGCGCGAAAGCCAGGGGAGCGAACGGG